rnacentral:rRNA from 1 species
GACAGAGGGUGCAAACGUUGUUCGGAAUUACUGGGCGUAAAGCGCGCGUAGGCGGCUUUGCAAGUCGGGUGUGAAAUCCCCAGGCUUAACCUGGGAACUGCAUUCGAGACUGCAUUGCUAGAGUAUGGGAGAGGGAAGUGGAAUUUCCGGUGUAGCGGUGAAAUGCGUAGAUAUCGGAAGGAACAUCAGUGGCGAAAGCGACUUCCUGGACCAAUACUGACGCUCAUGUGCGAAAGCGUGGGGAGCAAACAGGG